UUAAGUUCAGCGGGUAUCCCUACCUGAUCCGAGGUCAACCUAGUAAAAUUUGGGGUUGAUGGCGAGCACCGCCAGGACCCUAUAGCGAGAAUAAUUACUACGCUUAGAGCCAGACGGCACUGCCACUAGUUUUAGGGGCCACUAGAAGGCGAACCCCAACACCAAGCUAGGCUUGAGUGGUUGUAAUGACGCUCGAACAG
rnacentral:misc_RNA from 1 species